rnacentral:rRNA from 1 species
GCAGUGCGAAAUAACAGUUGGAAGCCAAAUUGCUAAUGUCGCAUAUGGCCGAGAGGUGAAAAGAUUUAUUGCUACAAGAUGAGCCCAUGCAGGAUUAGCUAGUUGGUGAGGUAAUGGCUCACCAAGGCAACGAUCUUUAGUUGGUCUGAGAGGAUGAUCAGCCACACUGGAACUGAGACACGGUCCAGACUCCUACGGGAGGCAGCAGUGGGGAAUAUUGGACAAUGGGCGCAAGCCUGAUCCAGCGACGCCGCGUGAGUGAUGAAGGCCUUAGGGUUGUAAAGCUCUUUUAGUGGGGAAGAUAAUGACGGUACCCACAGAAAAGCCCCGGCUAACUCGUGC